rnacentral:rRNA from 1 species
GACGAACGCUGGCGGCGUGCUUAACACAUGCAAGUCGAACGGCAGCGCGGGCUUCGGCCUGGCGGCGAGUGGCGAACGGGUGAGUAAUGCAUCGGAACGUGCCCAGUAGUGGGGGAUAGCCCGGCGAAAGCCGGAUUAAUACCGCAUACGACCUGAGGGUGAAAGCGGGGGACCGAAAGGCCUCGCGCUAUUGGAGCGGCCGAUGUCGGAUUAGCUAGUUGGUGGGGUAAAGGCUUACCAAGGCGACGAUCCGUAGCUGGUCUGAGAGGACGACCAGCCACACUGGGACUGAGACACGGCCCAGACUCCUACGGGAGGCAGCAGUGGGGAAUUUUGGACAAUGGGGGCAACCCUGAUCCAGCCAUGCCGCGUGCGGGAAGAAGGCCUUCGGGUUGUAAACCGCUUUUGUUCGGGAAGAAAUCCUCUGGGCUAAUACCCCGGGGGGAUGACGGUACCGGAAGAAUAAGCACCGGCUAACUACGUG